CCUACGGGGGGCAGCAGUGGGGAAUAUUGCACAAUGGGCGCAAGCCUGAUGCAGCGACGCCGCGUGAGGGAUGGAGGCCUUCGGGUUGUGAACCUCUUUCGCCCGUGGUCAAGCCGCGACGUGGGUCGUGGUGAGGGUAGUGGGUAAAGAAGCGCCGGCUAACUACGUGCCAGCAGCCGCGGUAAUACGUAGGGCGCGAGCGUUGUCCGGAAUUAUUGGGCGUAAAGGGCUUGUAGGCGGCUGGUCGCGUCUGCCGUGAAAUCCUCUGGCUCAACUGGGGGCGUGCGGUGGGUACGGGCUGGCUUGAGUGCGGUAGGGGAGGCUGGAACUCCUGGUGUAGCGGUGGAAUGCGCAGAUAUCAGGAAGAACACCGGUGGCGAAGGCGGGUCUCUGGGCCGUUACUG
rnacentral:rRNA from 1 species